CCUACGGGUGGCUGCAGUAGGGAAUUUUGCACAAUGGGCGCAAGCCUGAUGCAGCAAUACCGCGUGAGUGAAGAAGGCCCUUGGGUUGUAAAGCUCUUUCGGCCAAGAAGAAGGGUCCAUCUGCGAACAGUUGGUGGAUCUGACGGUACUGGAAGAAGAAGCACCUGCUAACUACGUGCCAGCAGCAGCGGUAAUACGUAGGGUGCAAGCGUUGUUCGGAAUUACUGGGCGUAAAGCGCGCGUAGGCGGGUCUGAAAGUCGAUUGUGAAAUCCCU
rnacentral:rRNA from 1 species